rnacentral:rRNA from 1 species
AUACGUAGGUGGCAAGCGUUGUCCGGAAUUAUUGGGCGUAAAGCGCAUGUAGGCGGUUUGGUAAGUCGGUCGAGAAAAUGCGGUGCUUAACGCCGUAUGGCGAUCGAAAAUGCUGAACUUGAGUGCAGGAGAGGAAAGGGGAACUCCCAGUGUAGCGGUGAAAUGCGUGAAUAUUGGGAGAACACCGUUGGCGAAGGCGCCUUUUGUGACUGGUUCUGACGCUCGGAUGCGAAAGCCAGGGUGGCGAACGGGAUUAGAUACCCCGGUAGUCCUGGCCGUAAACGAUGGGUACGAGGUGUGGGAGGUUUCGACUCCUUCCGUGCCGGAGUUAACGCAAUAAGUUCCCCGCCUGGGGAGUACGGCCGCAAGGCUAAAACUCAAAUGAAUUGACGGGG